UACAGAGGGGGCAAGCGUUGUUCGGAAUUACUGGGCGUAAAGGGCGCGUAGGCGGCAUGGCAAGUCGGGAGUGAAAGCCCGGGGCUCAACCCCGGAACUGCUUUCGAAACUGCCGAGCUAGAGUGCGGAAGAGGCAACUGGAAUUCCCAGUGUAGCGGUGAAAUGCGUAGAUAUUGGGAAGAACACCGGAGGCGAAGGCGGGUUGCUGGGCCGACACUGACGCUGAGGAGCGAAAGCCAGGGGAGCAAACGGG
rnacentral:rRNA from 1 species